CUCAAGACUUUUCCCCCUGGAUUUUGAGGUGCGACAUCAGAGCUGUGCAUCUGAGAACCUGCUCCAGGCUGGGGAUGGGGCCAGAAUCCUGCUAGAAAGGAAGAUUUCUUUCUAUUCUCAGGACCCAAACUUCUCAGCCCCAGAACACUCAGGUCCUGACAGCUUCCUGAAGACCCUCCUCUCAGUUUUGUGCUUUGAGUGAGGGGCUGCUGUCUCCUGGUCUCAGGAAGAAAGGAGGAAGGAUGAGGCAGGUAGCUGGCCUGCCAGGAGCCUACCUCAGUGACACUAGCUACCAUGUACCAGAGGCUGGGUCACUCCGCUGAGGUGAAAGCCGGACCGGAUUGGCUGCAGGCUUCCUCCUGCUCCCCCUUAACAGCUUUUCUCCCCGACAGGUGCUUACCUGCCUUUCUCUGGCUCAUUCAGCCAUCAGUCUCUUGGCUCAGCCCAUAUACCCAUCCACCAUGAUGCUUUUGCCUUUAGGAGUUUUGCACAUUCUGUUCCCACCUGGAAGACUAUGGGUCCUUUUUCCGGACCAACGCUAUUUCUCAUUUGAUUCUCAACAUCAGCAUCCCUUGGGGAGCCUCUCCCGAUCCUCUAAGACAGGGUUAACUCUCUCUUUGAUGCACUUAACACCUCGGACUGUAAUAUUUUUAUUACAAACAGGCCUGUUUAUUCCUCCAGUCUCCCCACUAGACUCUAAACUCCUGGGUGGGCUCAGGUCUUGUCCACACUUGCACCCCCACUUCCCAGCCCAGCGUCCGGCCUGGCAUACAGCAGGUGCCUGGCAAAUAUGUGCUGAAUAAUGUUCCAGGCUCACCAAGGACUCCCUCCUUUUCUCCCCCCGCCCCAUGUAUUUUUUAGACUGUGUCGAAUUCUUUGUUCUUCAAACCACUUCUGUAAUAAGCUUUCUAUUUUAUCACGGCAUCUAUUCAAGUCAAGUCCUUUGUCAGUUCUGAGUUUGAAAAAAAUCUUCAAUUCUGCAGGUACGGACAAAAACGUGACGCUGUGUCUGACACAUAAACGAAAAGUGAAAAUCAUGGCUGGAUAACCUGAAAACAGCUAGCGACAUCUGUAUCCUGGCCAUCCUUCCUCAUGAAGCCUUCUUUUUUGUGGGCUGGUAUAUACCUGAGCAAAAUGAAAACAAGUCCACACGAAAACUUCUACAGGAAUGUUCAUAGCAGCAUUAUUCAUAAUAGCCCCAAAGUGGAAACAACUCAAACGUCCACCAACUGACAAAUGGAUAAACAAAAUCUUUCUCUCUUCCAGAAGCUUCCCCCCUGUAGGCUCCGAAGACCGCCCUAUCCUUGGCUCCGGGUCAGCCGUUGUUCCUCUCGGCUCCCACAGCUGCCGGCACACCUCUGAAUGACGGCGCUUACCAUUCUGGAUGGCAUCUGUCCACCUGCCUCAGGUCUCAUUCGUCUUUACGUGCUCGGGCCCAGCACAGCGACAUAGGGUAAGGAAUGGCAGUGCCGAACAGCCACCAGGACUCCACAGACUCAUCGUAGCAGCCGGCAGUCUGGCAAAAGCUCUCCUAGGGAAAGGGGAGGUUUCCCCCUCGCUCUCUGGACUGGAGAGCUCCCCUGUUUCUCUGGCACAACUGCUCUGGUGCCCGGGCUUAGGCGCACGCGUGUGCAGACUUGCCCCAGGGCCUGCUUCCCACAGAGUGGCAGGGAAAUGGGGCACACUGCCUUUCCUGUGACACUGGUCAAGCCCUCUCCAGCUGUGCCCCUGUGAGUUUAUUAACACUUUACUGACGCACGUGUUCAGACGUGUGUACUUAACGGGAAGGGACGUCUGAAGAGCACACACAGCACAAUGUUUACACCUUGCAGCAUAUGGAAAAUACGUUCACAAAGCCUGUAGGAGGUAAUGCUCAAAAAGAGCCGACAGUCUGGGGACAAGAAGGAAUGACUACUUUCUGAAUACUCCCCCCAUCAUAAGCACAGUCAGUAAUCAGCCUGGUGAGGUCUGUGUGAAAUGCCCUGUGACACUCAGAAGCGGCGGGUGCCCCAGCCCAGACGCAUCCAAGCCAGGGUGGCAUGGUGUGGGCAGCAAAUACCACGGGAAACUGGGUGCAGUGAUCUUUAUCUCCACUCCAAGAUGGAUUUAUCUAUCCCUGAGAGUUUAAACACAAGGGCUGCCAUGUUGCACGGCUCCAGGGCUGCCCUUCCUAUCACCGCCGAGGUGACAGGCGCCCCGUAAGAUGGUGCACGGCAGUCUGUGUAGCCGUCAGAGGUGGCCUUGUUAAAUCUCGAUCACAUAACCCUAGGCGUAUUAAAGCAAAAAGGGCAUGCUUAUUUUC